rnacentral:sRNA from 1 species
UAGCCCCGGGGGCACCGGACACGUGCAGGCCGGCUGGGGAAGCGGGAGGGCCGGCCCGGGGCGCCGCGCUCCGCGGGCAGCCGGCACUUGCACA